rnacentral:rRNA from 1 species
UACGUAGGGGGCUAGCGUUGUCCGGAUUUAUUGGGCGUAAAGAGCGUGUAGGCGGCCAGGUAGGUCUGCUGUGAAAACCUCGAGGCUCAACCUCGAGACGUCGGCGGAAACCAUCUGGCUAGAGUCCGGAAGAGGAGAGUGGAAUUCCUGGUGUAGCGGUGAAAUGCGCAGAUAUCAGGAAGAACACCCGUGGCGAAGGCGGCUCUCUGGGACGGUACUGACGCUGAGACGCGAAAGCGUGGGGAGCGAACAGG